GAUUGAACGCUGGCGGAAUGCUUUACACAUGCAAGGUCGAACGGUAGAGGGGGCAACCCCUCGAGAGUGGCGAACGGGUGAGUAAUAUAUCGGAACGUGCCCAGUCGGUGGGGGAUAACGUAGCGAAAGUUACGCUAAUACCGCAUACGAUCUACGGAUGAAAGCGGGGGAUCGCAAGACCUCGCGCGAUUGGAGCGGCCGAUAUCAGAUUAGGUAGUUGGUGGGGUAAAGGCUCACCAAGCCAACGAUCUGUAGCUGGUCUGAGAGGACGACCAGCCACACUGGAACUGAGACACGGUCCAGACUCCUACGGGAGGCAGCAGUGGGGAAUUUUGGACAAUGGACGCAAGUCUGAUCCAGCCAUUCCGCGUGCAGGAUGAAGGCCCUCGGGUUGUAAACUGCUUUUGUACGGAACGAAAAGGUUUCUAUUAAUACUAGGAGCUCAUGACGGUACCGUAAGAAUAAGCACCGGCUAACUACGUG
rnacentral:rRNA from 1 species